rnacentral:rRNA from 1 species
UACAUGUGGGGCAAGCGUUGUUCGGAAUUACUGGGCAUAAAGGGUGCGUAGGCGGCAUGCCAAGUCAGGGGUGAAAGGUUUCGGCCCAACCGGGACAGUGCCUUUGAUACUGGCGUGCUUGAGUGCGUGAGGGGUGACUGGAACGAGUGGUGUAGCGGUGAAAUGCGUAGAUAUCACUCGGAAGGCCAACGACGAAGGCAGGUCACUGGUACGCAACUGACGCUGAGGCACGAAAGCGUGGGGAGCAAACAGG